GCUAUAAGUAUAUUUCAAAGUAGAAAAGAAUAUUCUACAAAGACGCAUGGAGCCAGGAGAGACCUCCGGAUGCGCCUGGCACUUCUCUUAUAGCUUAAGCGACUGCACCCGAUAGUAGUCAUCAAAAUACACAGACAGACAGUCGAAGCAGCAGAUAUCCAAAGUGCCCGGGGCCAAAGGGAUGGCUCUGAAUGUGAGCCUCGCACUGAAAUGGACUGGCCUGGAUCGGACUGGAGUGGACGGAACUGGACUGGACGGAUUUAACUCCCAGGUAGUCACGGCCAGUCACGGGUGGGCGCAUAUGCAAAAGCUCAGCGCCUCGGACUUUCAGAUCCACCAGCGGUCCAGGCUCCCUCGCCAUGGCAAUUUAACACACUUUGGCGCGUGAAUUAGGGCCAAUUUGGGAAUUAAGUAAUCUGGCUCUGGGUUUUGGAUACUGGACAACAUCAGUUGGCGUUGCGUGCUGAGCUGGCCGAUGGUUUAUUAGUGACACUUUGCCGAUCAUGGAUAUAUAUUAUCUCGCCUAUUUGAUCUUGCUCAUUUGAAAUGUAUUAAUGAUUGACCUUAUUAAGAUCUUGUGUUUAGCUAAGCUAUAGUAUGUGCAUAUAUCCUGGCAAA